UACGGGGGGGGUAAGCGUUGUUCGGAAUUACUGGGCGUAAAGGGCGCGUAGGCGGUCAGCACAAGUCAGUUGUGAAAUCUCCGAGCUUAACUCGGAAAGGUCAACUGAUACUGUGCGACUAGAGUGCGGAAGGGGCAACUGGAAUUCUUGGUGUAGCGGUGAAAUGCGUAGAGAUCGGAAAGAACACCAACGGCGAAAGCACUCUGCUGGGCCGACACUGACACUGAGAGACGAAAGCUAGGGGAGCGAAUGGG
rnacentral:rRNA from 1 species